AUUGAACGCUGGCGGCAGGCCUAACACAUGCAAGUCGAGCGAGCGGCGGACGGGUGAGUAAUGUUUGGGGACUGCCCGCUAGAGGGGGAUAACUACUGGAAACGGUGGCUAAUCACGCCUACUGUCGGAUAACCCAUAGGGGAUUAGCUAGUAGGUAAGGUAAUGGCUUACCUAGGCGACGAUCCCUAGCUGGGCUGAGAGGAUGAUCAGCCACACUGGGACUGAGACACGGCCCAGACUCCUACGGAGGCAGCAGGGGGGAAGAUUGCACAAUGGGCGCAAGCCUGAUGCAGCAAUGCCGCGGGUAUGAAGAAGGCCCUAGGGUUGUAAAGUACUGUCAGUCGGGAGGCGUUACCGACAGAAGAAGCACCGGCUAACUCCGUGCCAGCCGCCGCGGUAAUAC
rnacentral:rRNA from 1 species